rnacentral:rRNA from 1 species
GUCUCUUUGGAUAAAAAUGUAUAAAGAGUCGAACCUGCCCGGUGACUAUAUUGUUAAACGGCCGCGGUACCCUAACCGUGCAAAGGUAGCAUAAUCAUUUGCCUUUUAAUUGGAGGCUAGUAUGAAUGGUUUGACGAGAGCUGUGCUGUCUCUUCUAAAAUAUUUAGAAAUUAACUUUUAGGUGAAGAGGCCUAAAUUUAUUUAAGGGACAAGAAGACCCUGUUGAGCUUUAGUGAUGUUGUAAAUGAUAUGAAGUAAGGUGUUACUAAUUUGUUAUGUAUUUAUUAUAAUAAAAAUUUACAAAUAAUCUUUAGUUGGGGCGACUGAGGAACACAGAAAGCUUCCUUGAGUAUAAAAUUAUUUAAAUUAUUAAAUGAGUGUUGAUGCUUAUGUGUUAUUUUGAUCCAAAUUAUUUUGAUUAAAGGAAAAAGUUACCACAGGGAUAACAGCGUAAUCUUUCUGGAGAGAUCUUAUCGAAAGAAGGGUUUGCGACCUCGAUGUUGGACUAAGAUAUCCUAAGGGUGCAGAAGCUCUUAAAGGUUGGUCUGUUCGACCAUUAAAAUCUU